GUCUACGGCCAUGCUACCCUGAACACACCUGAUCUUGUCUGAUCUCAGAAGCUAAGCAGGGUUGGGCCUGGUUAGUACUUGGAUGGGAGACUAUCUAGGAACACUGGGUGCUGUAGGUG
rnacentral:rRNA from 1 species